AGUCGAACGGUAACAGGAAGCAGCUUGCUGCUUCGCUGACGAGUGGCGGACGGGUGAGUAAUGUCUGGGAAACUGCCUGAUGGAGGGGGAUAACUACUGGAAACGGUAGCUAAUACCGCAUAACGUCGCAAGACCAAAGAGGGGGACCUUCGGGCCUCUUGCCAUCGGAUGUGCCCAGAUGGGAUUAGCUAGUAGGUGGGGUAACGGCUCACCUAGGCGACGAUCCCUAGCUGGUCUGAGAGGAUGACCAGCCACACUGGAACUGAGACACGGUCCAGACUCCUACGGGAGGCAGCAGUGGGGAAUAUUGCACAAUGGGCGCAAGCCUGACGCAGCCAUGCCGCGUGUAUGAAGAAGGCCUUCGGGUUGUAAAGUACUUUCAGCGGGGAGGAAGGCGAUAAGGUUAAUAACCUUGUCGAUUGACGUUACCCGCAGAAGAAGCACCGGCUAACUCCGUGCCAGCAGCCGCGGUAAUACGGAGGGUGCAAGCGUUAAUCGGAAUUACUGGGCGUAAAGCGCACGCAGGCGGUCUGUCAAGUCGGAUGUGAAAUCCCCGGGCUCAACCUGGGAACUGCAUUCGAAACUGGCAGGCUAGAGUCUUGUAGAGGGGGGUAGAAUUCCAGGUGUAGCGGUGAAAUGCGUAGAGAUCUGGAGGAAUACCGGUGGCGAAGGCG
rnacentral:rRNA from 1 species